rnacentral:lncRNA from 1 species
AUUGGUACAAAUUUAGAAGUUUACUUCCACUUCUUUCCUCCAUGCUUUCCAUGCCUGAAGCCACCGUAGUGCUUUCCAUGCUUGAACUUGCCGUGAUGGUGCCCGCCGUACCCAUGGUGCGACAUGUGGUGAGUACCAUAAGCAGCAGCAGCCCCGGCUAACAGUCCCCCUACGCCACCAUAUCCUAAUAUAAAAACGUACCACGAAUGUAUAAAUAAGUCAACAGCUUCAGAAAUUAAUAAACAAUAACGCAAAUUAACAUUCAAAUCAAAAUAUAUCUGCAGAUUCAAACCUGAAUGAUGAGGUGGAGCAUACAGGCCGGUACUGUAACCAGAUGGCGGGUACCCGGCAACUGGAGAAUAUCCAUAUCCCUGCGGAGGGUAACCUUGCGGCGGAUAAGCUGCUCCUGGUGGAGGAGGAUAGUACUGUGCCGGAGGAGGAUAUCCAUAACCUGGAGCUCCGUAUGAGAAGUGCCUCCUGUCUCCCAUGUUAAUUUUCUGAUGAUAUAUAGAAAGCUACCCUUGUGCUGUGUG